rnacentral:lncRNA from 1 species
CUCCUAUCGGGACAUAAAGUGUGUAUUCUAAAUACACUUUGUUUAUGUUCCACGCUGGUUUAAUUUGAACGAAGGUGUAAACCUGAAAUCCGCUCGGCUGUUUGACCGUCUGCUUGUGUUGUUCCCGUUUCAGAAGUACAGGCACCACGAUGAGGACUCGUCGCCGCAGGAUCAGAGCUCCCCCCAGCUGACGGAGGAGGGGGGGGGCCAGAGCUGGUCCAGGUAGCGGAGAAAAACCUUUCGCAGAUCGAGAAUGUGCACGGAUACGUCACGCACGCCCACAUCUCGCCCAUGAAGGUAGCGUCUCUGGAGUGCAUCUUUGACGGUUCCUCAGCGUUAGGACAGCAGCACGUCCCGGAACUCCCCUCCCCUACGCCCUCCACCCUCUAUAGCCACGGCGAGGACAGCCCCCUCCCCUCCUGCUCCGCCAACCCUUACCCCCCAAUCCAGACAUCACCGGAACACGAACUGAUCUAUAAAGUGUUUGGUGGAGACGUGGGAUCAGUGCAUCGCAGAGGGCGAAGCUGCUUGUAAUAAACAUGCAAAAACAUUCCAGUCAGAGAGGCUCAGAUUUGAUUAUUAUACUCCAAUUUUUAUCUGAGAUUGAAUUGCUGCUAAGUUAUUGUCUAACUAUACCAUAG